rnacentral:rRNA from 1 species
GACGUAGGGCGCGAGCGUUGUCCGGAUUUAUUGGGCGUAAAGAGCUCGUAGGCGGCUCGUUGCGUCGGCUGUGAAAACCCGCAGCUCAACUGUGGGCUUGCAGCCGAUACGGGCGGGCUGGAGUUCGGUAGGGGAGACUGGAAUUCCUGGUGUAGCGGUGAAAUGCGCAGAUAUCAGGAGGAACACCGGUGGCGAAGGCGGGUCUCUGGACAGUUCCUGACGCUGAGGCACGAAGGUCAGGGGAGCAAACGGG